UACGUAGGGGGCAAGCGUUGUCCGGAUUUAUUGGGCGUAAAGAGCGUGUAGGCGGCCAGGUAGGUCAGCUGUGAAAACUCGAGGCUCAACCUCGAGACGCCGGGUUGAAAACCAUCUGGCUAGAGUCCGGAAAGAGGAGAGUGGAAUUCCUGGUGUAGCGGUGAAAAUGCGCAGAUAUCAGGAGGAACACCGGUGGCGAAGGCGGGUCUCUGGGCCGAUACUGACGCUGAGGAGCGAAAAGCGUGGGGGAGC
rnacentral:rRNA from 1 species